CCAUAAAAGCAGCAGCCUGGGGUUGCCAAGUGAUUACGAUAAAGGAGCACUUUGAUGAAGACGGUAACUCAGCAGAGGAAUACACAGGGUACCCGGCCGAGAAGUCCCUCUCUGAGAGUCAUCAAAAUUCAGUAGGACAAACCAGUUUUAGGGCUUGGGAGGCAGCCAGGUUCUUUUCCACCGUUUUCUCAGAAAUCAUUAAUCAAAUGCCUUCUCAAGUCCAGCACACUCUGCACUUUUCCUGUACAAAGGCUGCCAUUUAGUUUCUACCGACCUGUCACUGAUUGACAGAGGCCUGCAGAAACGUACAAGUGUCUGUUACUUAUGUUUAACUGACUCAAGAGUUUCGAAGAACACUCUGCUGAACUCUGGCCCCGUGUGCCCAGCCUGGGACGGGGGACUUAGCAUGUGAAGAUUUGUCCAGCAAGUACCUUCAAGGUCUCUUGGAAGGUUGGGUCCACGGUGUUCCUUUGGACUCCAGUCUUGCGUUUUCCCUGGGAGGAUCUGUCAGGCAGCAGUUUCCAAGUACCAGUACAGACAUUAUUUUGUUAAUUUCUCACACCAGCCAUGAGAAACAAGCCAGAGGAAUAUAAUUAUUUCCACCUCCCAAGUGGGAACACAGAAGAGGAGCCCGCAGCCCUGCCUGGAUCUGCUCCUCCCGACAGGGCAUUACUUCCCGGUAUCGGAACGUGGCCAAGGAGCACCACGCUGCCGGUGUCCCUGCCUCGCGCCCCACCUGCGUCGCCUAAAGGAGCCCAGCCGCUCUGGGACCCAGACUCCACGCACGUGUCUGAUAUGGACGUGCGCGUUCUCUCGGCCCAAACCGCACCAGCAGAAGUGCCAAAAAUUCCGUGGAUGUCAUAAAUCAUUAAAUCGAGCAUGAGAGGAAUAAGAAGUUUGUGAUGGCGGAGUAAAAGAAAUGAAGAGGUCCCAAGAUUGGAAAAUCUCAUUAUGGGCCAAAAAAAAAAAAAAAAAAAGCUGCUGGUGGGGAGCUUUCAGCAACACUUCAAUAAAUUCGAUGCAAUCAGGGGCGCCUGGGUGGCGCAGUUGGUUAAGCGUCCGACUUCAGCCAGGUCACGAUCUCGCGGUCCGUGAGUUCGAGCCCCGCGUCAGGCUCUGGGCUGAUGGCUCGGAGCCUGGAGCCUGUUUCCAAUUCUGUGUCUCCCUCUCUCUCUGCCCCUCCUCCGUUCAUGCUCUGUCUCUCUCUGUCCCAAAAAUAAAUAAAAAACGUUGAAAAAAAAAAUUAAAAAAAAAUUCGGUGCAAUCAGGUGUGUGAAUUGUUGCCAGCUUCAAGAACGCUGGGUGUUUAGGAUGUGCAUCAAGAAGUUAGCAUCUCGCAGAGUCUCCACUUCAUUUCCAUUGGAUUACGCAGAUGUCUGAGGCGUCAGGCACUGGGCAUGAUGUUGGAGACAGGAGUGAUUCGUAAAACAAACGCUCGGUUUAGAAUUUCAUUUAAGAUGCCAUCAAAAAUAAUAUUUCGUUUCCUUACAACAUUUCAGAAGAAUGUAAGCAAUAAAACCUGUCGUGAGAAAAUGCUCUGUGAGCUGCUAAGAAGGCUUUUCAUAAGAAUCUGGAAAUAUCUCUGUUUAAAUCUUUUCCAGGCACUUUAUCAUUUAAAAAAAAAAAAAAGUCACAUUCCAAAGCAGCCAGGUCUGAAAGUCAAGAGAUCUAGAAGUUCUUUCAGCGAGUCCUUGGUGCUCCAGGCCUGGAGGGGCCAGGACGGUCUGGUCUGGUAUAGCACUCACCUCAGUUCCUGAUAAGAUUGCAAGAGCUUUGCUCCAGCUCUGUCGUGUUUGCCUGGAAGAGAUACCAGGAAAGGUCACUCAUUAGUAAGAAGACAACCUUGGGGAGGCAAACACAGAAAGUAAUCGAUUAGAAUUCUUAUUUUUCUAAUACCACUUCUUGCAAUUAAAAAGUAAAAAACUGUCUUGGGGGUGACAGAAAGGCCCUAGGGGGCGCCUGGGUGGCACAGUCAGUUAAGCGUCCGACUUCAGCUCAGGUCAUGAUCUCACC